AUGGUCUGGGGAAAGGCUCCUUGUGUGGUUGACCCUGCCCGAGGUGGGUGCAGCCCUGUACCAGAUAGCCCGACCUUGACCUAAAGUAAAUUCCCAGAGGCGCAUCCUCCCUGGGGUUAGAAUUUGCAGUAACAGGUGUGAACCUCUCGGUGGCAGUUCAGUGGUCAUGUAUGAUACUGCAAACAGGA
rnacentral:snoRNA from 14 species